GAUGAACGCUGGCGGCGUGCCUAAUACAUGCAAGUCGAGCGAACAGACGAGGAGCUUGCUCCUCUGACGUUAGCGGCGGGCGGGUGAGUAACACGUGUAUAACCUACCUAUAAGACUGGGAUAACUUCGGGAAACCGGAGCUAAUCCCGGAUAAUAUAUUGAACCGCAUGGUUCAAUGGAGAAAGACGGUUUUGCUGUCACUUAUAGAUGGAUCCGCGCCGCAUUAGCUAGUUGGUAAGGUAACGGCUUACCAAGGCAACGAUGCGUAGCCGACCGCAGAGGGUGAUCGGCCGCACUGGAACUGAGCCAGGGUCCAGACUCCUACGGGAGGGAGCAGUAGGGAAUCUUCCGCAAUGGGCGAAAGCCUGACGGAGCAACGCCGCGUGAGUGAUGAAGGUCUUCGGAUCGUAAAACUCUGUUAUUAGGGAAGAACAAAUGUGUAAGUAACUAUGCACGUCUUGACGGUACCUAAUCAGAAAGCCACGGCUAACUACGUG
rnacentral:rRNA from 1 species